GAUGAACGCUGGCGGCGUGCCUCAAACAUGCAAGUCGAGCGAGGCUAUGAGUUACCGCAAGGUAAGGCAUAGCCUAGCGGCGAACGGGUGAGUAACACGUGGGUAACCUACCUGGAAGACAGGGAUAACGAUUCGAAAGGGUCGCUAAUACCUGAUAAUAUCCAUCUGCCGGAUGGCGGAGGGAAGAAAGGGGAAACCCGCUUUCAGAUGGGCCCGCGUCCCAUCAGCUAGUUGGUAAGGUAAAGGCUUACCAAGGCGACGACGGGUAGCCGGUCUGAGAGGAUGUACGGCCACACUGGGACUGAGAUACGGCCCAGACUCCUACGGGAGGCAGCAGUUGGGAAUCUUAGGCAAUGGACGAAAGUCUGACCUAGCGACGCCGCGUGAGCGAAAGAAGGCCUUCGGGUCGUAAACCUCUUUCAGUAGGGACGAAGCGUAAGUGAACGGUACCUAUAGAAGAAGCACCGGCCAACUACGUG
rnacentral:rRNA from 1 species